rnacentral:piRNA from 1 species
GAAGGCAGUACAAAGCCAUGUCAGCUC